AUCCCUUCUCAGCCUUUUGGCUAAGAUCAAGUGUAGUAUUCUCUAGUCAAUAUAUCAAUUAUGUAUCAAUGUCCUUUGAUCUGUGGUCAGUUUUU
ensembl:snRNA U2 U2 spliceosomal RNA